rnacentral:rRNA from 1 species
GCUCUCUCUAUCAUUCCCUCUCCCACACGCCUCCUCAAGCGACCCCACCUCGCGCUCCCGAUGCUGCGCCGACACCUCCUCCCCUUCUCUCACGGCCUCCACAAGCAUCCGCAAAUCCUCCCUCUCCCAUAAUCUCCUGUUUUUGCCUCUCAAUCACGAAUCAGGAUCCAUGGAGGUUUCCGACAAGUGCUACUCGAUCUGCUAUACGGCAGCGGCCGGGACCGCCGGCCGUGGGUCUGCGUCUCGCUGCUCAUCCUCCGGGAGGCUACACGCGGAGGGAACUCGCUGUUGGCGAGGUUCCAUGGAGUGCCAAGCGGGUGCUUUUCGCCAGCGGGGACGAGCAUGACCUUCUAUUCCCCGGCUCUUCACCCCCAAGGGCACCGACCCCAGGAAGAUCCCUAGGUCGCCCUACAGCAUGAUGAUGGGGAUCGAAGCGUCGGUGCUCCAAUCCGGUGGAGGGGUGGCGGCGGAGGUGCAGGCCCAAAACACUACCCAGAAGGAGGCGCCCCGGAUGAGCAACACACUCGUGUUCCUCCCGCUCAUGGAGGACGCGCUCUCGGUCGCCGGCGGUUUCGUUCUGUCUAUGGCGAUGGGUUGCCUCUUCUUCUCCAUUCGUGUGGUCAGUUUUUGCGACUACGGAAUUGUGAUAGGAUAUUCUUGAGUAUUUAGUUCUUCAGUACUGUUAAUUGAACAUACACUGGAAGUCAAAUUUCCAGGUAAAUCUGAUCAAGACUACUAGAUGAUCCAAAUGGAGGAUUAUUUCACUUUCAGACCCACUUUGUAAUUGUACAUCAUUGUCUUACCACAGAAGUUUAGAUGGACAUAGUAUCCAGGAUACCAACUAUUUGGAACUCCUCUCUACAAAAAAAGGCUUAAGGGGAUUGGUAACUGGAGUUCAGACCAUAAAAUUAUUCCAAUUCCCAUGCCUACAGUAUUGUAUACACAGAUUUCAGAGAGGAAUAGGUACCACUUUUUCCUCAACAUUUAGUUAUCCAUACAAGAGUAAUUAAUGCCUAUGCUAAGUUGUUAUUUUUUUAUACAUGAUUUUUUUAUCAUAGAUGGAUAGAUGAGCAAUGGACCAUUAAAGUUGCUUUCAUUGGUUCUCUUAGGGACCAUUGCAAAAGGUGUUUUUGUUUGGAUAAAGGUCAUCGAGCUAAGGUAAGCUCUCCAUAGACUGGAACAUUAUCAUGUCCUCGUCGGCGAGGAAGCCAGGUGACCUUCUCAUCCAAUGUCUUUCCCUCCUUAUCCCUUUCUCCUAUCGCAGUUCCCUCUCAAUGCGUUAGUUUCUUUCGUCGUCGCUAGGUUCCCAUGGCACUCUGCCACGCUCGCUUCAGUAGCUCGUUGAUUAAGAGGUAUGAGUGGGUGGCCAGCUGCAAUGUCUAGAUGGAAGACCUCUCCUGUUCAGAUUUAUUUUGGGUUCUUGAUUCCUUUUUCCCAAUGGUUAUAUGUAAUUAGUACAACAUUAGGAAAAAAUUAUACCAUGUUUGUGGCUGGAUGCAUUGAGUUGUUGGAAUUGUUGUAUUAGAAGUGCACUCUUGAUUGCCUUACCAAUGGUCCAAAAGAAUUGCACAACCGGUGAAAUUGACCGUGGUUUUAAUGUACUUUUGUUACAAUAUAGUUUUUUUAGGAGCAAAGGACAGUUGGAGAGAUCUCCCACUGACUUGUAACUAUAAAAAGAAGGACGUCAGUGACAUUUACAAUAUACUAGAGUAUAUUUCAUUAUUUCCCAGUUUGGACAUACUUCUAUUGGUUUGCUUCUCAUAAAUAUUAUCAUGCAUGUAUCAGCUGGUGAUUGUGUGAUAGUGGCGUGCUCUCAUAAAUAUUAUGUGUUUCCAGGAAGAUAAAUCCUUUCCGAAUAGGGACUAGGUUGGUUACUUCUUCUGUAAUUAUAUGUUUUAGUGAUAGCUGCUUGAUUAAAUGGUUCCAUCUGUUUCUUAUUCUUGUCAUCUAACGUAGAUAAAUAGAUUAUAUGCUUUUGUGCUGAAUUACGUGGAAGGUCGAGAUGACCGCACAUACGAAUUUAUUUAUGUUUAUUAUCGCAUGGAUGCCUACUGACCCAAAAUAUUUUUGUUUAAAAUGUUUUCCUAUGAAGUUUCUAUACUAUAUAAGAAAGUUGGUCUCAACUAUUUGAGGUCAUAUUCUAUUUUAAAGAUUACUCAUAUAGUUUCAUAGCUGAUUCAGUUGCAUUCGUUGAGAACAGGUGUUUGUAUCAAUCUUGUUUUUCAGGUUACUUGUAUUACAUAUUGAUGGAUUUCUUGCAGGCUUGUACGCCAGAUUUUAUUUCAACUGAAAGUAUUCUUUUCUUUGACAAGAGGGUAUGUAUUCUGGACAAAUUCUGUAAUUAUAUGUUUCCAGUGAUAGCUGUUAGAUUAAAUGAUUGGUCCUAUCCAUGUGUAAUCAUGUAUUAUUUGGGAUGAGACUUGUAUUUUUAGUCAGUAUAAUUUUGUAAUGGAUUGAACAUAUUCCUGUAAUUUUGAACUGUGAAACACAUAGAAGUUAGUUAAUUUUGGUAGUAUUUGUGGCUUGUUGUGCUCACCCCAGAGGCAUCGCAGAAGCUUUCCCAUGUUUUGAACUGAUGUCAUCCUUGCUACGACAAUUCUUGAUCUUGGGCCACACCAGAUUCAUACGUUUUGUGAAUCGGUAUGUUGAAUAAAUCGAGUCGCUCAGGACGGCCACAUGAUUCAAGCUGAAUCUGAUAUCAUUUGUGCCUUCGUGCUCACUGUUCAGGUGGGUCAUAUAAUUGAAGUUGAAUCUGAUAAUACCAAGAGUCUAAGAGGGACGAAUACCUGAAGAGAUUGAUGAGCCUUCCUAAUCAGGUUCCCUUCUAGCAUGCAUUUUUACCUUCUUUAUCAUUUCUCUUAAGGAUAGUCUUUACAAGGUUAUCUUGUGAUUAGUUUGAUUUGAAAAUAAUGGGCUGAAAUAAUUCGACAAGCGGGCCAAAGCAUUGAUAUCCUGAAGAACCACAAUGUUAUCAGAUCUCUUCUUAACAUUUUGCAGGUAAUAAUCGAGCCUGUAUUUGAAUCUUGUGGCCUUAGGCAGUGUUGUUAGUUGUUUAUUGUUGUGAAGUUCUUUACUUCUAUACCUACUAAUAAAAGAAAUAGGUAUUCUUGGUCCGUCAUCGUUUUUGCAGAAAAACCCUUCACUUUUUUAAGAGCCAACCCGCAAUCCAGAAAAAAGCUCGUCCCAGAAUUUCUGAUCCCUACAUGGGCUGGCCAGUCCCUAGCGUGGGCCAAGGUGGGCCUGGUUCGCUUCUUUCGAUAAGAAGGAAAAAUAUAUACACGCAGAGGACUUGAACUUGAGACCUCCACUACCGACCACAACAGAACAACCAACUCACCUACUCCCUCCGUUCCAAAAUAGAUGACUCAACUUUGUACUAACUUUAGUACAAAAUUAAGUCAUCUAUUUUGGAACGGAGGGAGUAUCAUUUUUCCCCGUGCAAAACCUGGUCGUUACCUAAUUAUGAGUUGCCUAGAAAAUGGAAACUACCUCAAAAAAAAAGGAAUGCACGUGUCAAUUAAAAAAAAUCCCGCUAAAUGUGGACAUGAAGAUGACAAUAAAAGUGAAAGACUCGAGAUAAGGAAGGACGUGCAGGAAAUUGACUCCAAUUAUAUGGAUUGUGGGCAUUAUUGGAGAAUUAAAUGGGAUUUCGGGAAACCCAAUAAAGGACCACAUGCACGCCGUAUUUCUUUCCAUGAAAUGGAAUUUUCAUGACAUAAUUGGCCGCAUUUCUUUCCAUCAAAUGGAAUUUUCAUGACAUAACUGGCCGCAUUUCUUUCCAUUAAAUGGAUUUUUCUUCACGUAAUUGGCUCCCUAAUAAAUGUUACUGUGCUGAAAUUUGUUAGAUAGCCCAACAAUUAAGUCGGUUUAAACGGGGAGAAGACGUUGCACCCCAUAAGAAAAAAUAAAAUUAAAAGGCAGCACAACAUCUCCACACGUUUUUUGGAACAAACAUAAAAGAAUUCCCUCAAAAACCACAAACAUACAAUAAAAUAUAGUAUUAUUUAGAUGCAUAUAUGGGAGUACAAGAUGCGUAAUAUGCCUUAGAUGAUAGAUAGGAUUAAUUCGGACUAUAUAAAAGUCAGUGUUGGGAUAGCGAAGUUAUGUAAUCAACUUUUGUUCCCAGUAACAAAAUGGAUAAUUGAAUUUUGUUGUGCUAAAUUUUCAUAGUCUAAUUUUUAAAAUAUCUUUAGGACAUAUUAGUACAUGGUUUUUACAUUAUUUAAUUUUACAUGUUGUGUUUUCUAGACGCAAAGAUAUUUUUUUAUUCCCGUUGCAACGCACGGGCAUACUUCCUAGUAAUUUAUAAAUUCACUAUAAGAUUGUGGUUGUCUACUUAAAGAAAUGAUAUUUGUUAGACGACCAAACUCACUUGCAUGUCAUUCCUUAAGAAGAUCAGUCUCCCAAAUGCUUUAGUUAGUUGCUAGCCAAGGCAAAAAAUAUAUGUAAUCUGCC